AGCAGAAAACACAGAAUCAUCAUCACAACAUUCAGAACAAUGCAAACACUCACUGCUGAUGUAAACUGAGUUUCUGUCAAGUACCAAUGAGCAGUCAGUAUCUUACUGGUAGAGGACAGCGGCCAUGUUGAUCUCAGUUUGGAUAAUCAGGGAGAAAUGCUUGCAUAAGAGUCAAAGGCGAAGUGAGAUAAAUGUGAUCGGUUUGCUGAUUGGCCACAAGAGACGGUGAUGGGCCAUCACUUUUUCACGGAAAUCAGCCGAUUACGAUCGGUGGCCGAUCGAUUGGCACACCUCUACCUUUGACUCUUAUGCAAGCAUUUCUCCCUGAUUAUCCAAACUGAGAUCAACAUGGCCGCUGUCCUCUACCAGUAAGAUACUGACUGCUCAUUGGUACUUGACAGAAACUCAGUUUACAUCAGCAGUGAGUGUUUGCAUUGUUCUGAAUGUUGUGAUGAUGAUUCUGUGUUUUCUGCUCCUCAGUCCAGCCACCUGACGGACAGUCGAGGCCUGAGCUGCAGCACACAGAGCCUGAACAGACGGGGAUCGCUCAGUGGGACCAGCUAACACAAGAA